AAAUUCUGUUUGUUGACCACCCGCUGUAAUUCCGUCGGUCGAAUGCUGGCCAGCAGGGCCAACAGAACGGGAACGUUACCCUGGGAGGCGCAGUAGUGCAGUGGAUUCUCUUUCGUCUUGAACCAAAAUAUGAUUGAAAUGUGUCGAGACUAACAUCUCCGCCGGCCUGGAGCAAAGACUGGGCAAUGUCACGAUCAGGAUAUUUUCCUUUGACGGUUGUGGUAAUUCGGGGUUGGUUACUGGCCGCGUGUAAAGAUGUUUCACCGAUAGAGUUGCGGGUAUUGACGUAGGUAGCGGCUGAACCCGAUCCGGCUUGGACGUGUUCCAGUAACAGCUGGACGACGGAAAGCGUCCCUGGAUGUGACGUGCCGCAAGCCACCUGGAGAGGCGUUUCACCGUUGAUGUUCACCAGCAAAGGAUCAGCCCCAUCGGCAAGAAGGAGUCGAACUACACCGAAAUGCCCCUCACUGGCCGCCACGUGAAGCGGUCGAACUCCAUCGGCUCGAUUGAUGUUGGCAUCGCAUCCGGAUUUCAGUAGCAUUUGCACACAUUUCUCACCUCCUUCCGUCACCCUGGCCGCUAUAUGCAAAGGCGUUUCUUGCAAGGUUCCAGCUGUCCAUGUAGGAAAAUUUAAAAUCAAUUAAAUUAAAUCAUUUAUCAAUUUAAAAUAAUCCAUGUAUACCUCGGAUGUGAACUUGAGCUCCGUAUCCCAACAGGGUCUCUACAACAUUAGCUUUUCCAGCCUGGACAGCCACAUGAAGUGCCGUGUAAUUAUCCUAUCGUAACAAAAUCAACAAAUUCAAAUUAUAUUUUUAAAACCUAAUCUGCUGUUAAUUAUGUUCAUUCCUACAUUUGUAGUGGCAUCCACUUGUUCGCCCUUCAACAAAAGAGUCUGGAUGACUCCGACGUGGCCUUUUCGUGCCGCGAUGUGAAUACUCCUGGCUCCACUCUACAAUUUCAACAAGCCCAACGUUGCAUGUGAAGUGGGACUCCCUUUUUGAGCAGCAUCAGGGCCGUCUCCGGGUGUCCAUGGAGUGAAGCGACGUGCAGCAAAGUACUGCCAUCUUUGGUGCGCUCCAAACAGGAUGCCCGGAACUUUUCCGUCAGGAUCUCGACGACGGCCGUCCGACCUCUUUCAGCUGCCAGCAGUACCGGCGUUCGAUCUGCAACGAAUUUUUCGGACGUGAGAUAAGGUCAGAUCAAUUUCUUGAUUAAUUUGUAUCGAUUAUUACCUUCGUUAUCGGAUAUGUUGGGAUUGGCGUGGAGCAUGUGAAGAUAUUUGACAAUGUUCUCGUCGCCGUCGGCCGCC